CUCCAUCAUUUUGUCUCACCAGGCUUAAUGCUGGGUAUUUCUUCAGACUAAUUGUUUGUUUAUAGAAUUCUCCAUCCAGAGUACAUUGAUAGACGUCAUUCCUUUCAAAGAGGACCUAGAUACCUGGGUGUUUCCCAAGGAAGUAUGAAAGCUGAUAUAAACAUGGCAUUUCUGGCAUUCAUCUUCAUGAAUCCAUGAACAAGAGGGAGAAGCAGCAAUGAAUGAUACUUAUGUACAACCCCAAAUAAGAUAGUGUUAAAAAUAAAUUCAAGAGUUAUCUGCCUCGGUCACUUAAGGGCAGGUUCAGAGAAAUGGUGUAAAAGGAUAAGAGUAGAGGAUGGCUAAAAGCAAAGGUGAAAACUGCACCCAAGGCGAAGGAGCAACUUUCCACUGCAUGUCUCAGUUUGGCUCAAGAUGAGUGCGGGAGAUGGAGGUCGAGUCUCUGGAGACUUUAUCUGAGGGGCAAGCAGGGUCUUCACGAGAUAUCUCUUUGUCAGUCAUUCUGCUGUACCCUACUCUGUGCGGUAUGAGUUGGAGCCAGAAGAAAUGGAACAUCUAAAGCUGACCAUGAACAAACACUAUGAUGUCUCCCAGCAAACUCUUGACCUCCAGAGGCUCUGCUUUGACCCAGAUUGUUGAAGACUUGGUGGGCCAUGAUAUUGAUAUAAUCCUGAAUUGAAGAAAAUGCAUGGCUGCCACCCUGAAGAUCAUUGAAAAGAGUUCCCCCUGAUGUGAGGCCUUAUGCCCAGUGCUGUUUUUAUGGUAGAGGAUGGUACGAAUGGUGUGGAGGGAAGACUUGUUUCUGAGGCCCUAGAUAGUAACUGUCACUCUAACUCCUUCUCACAAAAAGCUGUUGUCCUUGAACUCGAUCAACAACAAACUGUACAGGCUGCAUGGCCUGUCUGACAUUAUACAGAUGGUCCCCACAGUCAAGAUCCUGAAGCUCUCUAAGAAUGAGGUGGGAAGACGGCGCCAGAUCAAAGUUGGGGUUGACGGUGGGUGGUAGUGUUUAUCAGUGAUGACAGGAGGCAGGAGAAGGUACCUGUGUGGAAAAGUGGGGGCUGGGGGUGCAGGGGCCCACAUGUCUCUCUUUCCCUGGGACUCGUUUCCAGCUUCCUCCCCAUAUUUCUCAGCAGACGUCAGCCUGAGAGCUGGACAAAGUGAGGGAGCUGUGGCUAGACGAGAAUCCGUGACACCUUUCCUGGGGACCUCUGCCCCUGGGAGCAUGAGCUACCUGACAGUGCCCAUCUGCAGGAGGCAGCAGCUAUGAGGAGGACCAUGUGCCCUGACUUCUCUACUCUCUUUCUCACCUGUGCUUAGAGGUCUCCUUUCCUUCCUGUGACCUGCUUACCUGUUUUCCUGGUCUGGGGUCUGUUUCUUACCCUUCUGCACUUAGCUUUCCCUAACAUACUGCUAUGUUCUGACUGUGUCCCCCACCUCACCGCAUUCAUUUGUUGAAAUCCUGACACCCAAAGAUGAUAGUAUCAAGAGGUGGUUUUUUGGGAGGUGCUUAGGUCAUGAGGGUGCAACCUUCCUGAAUGGAAUGAGUACCAUUAUAUAAAAGGCUCCAGAGAGAUCCCUAAC